GAGUCCCACCCUAACCCAAGGAUAUACUAAGUUAACACUUCGUAUGAACCCUGUGUUGUAAAACCAAUAAAUAGAGAACUGUGAACUUAAUGAACUAUAAAGUUACAGACUAGUGAGGGGCACGCAUACUAGGGAUGUUCGCUCUUUGCUUUAAAUAUGUGGCGCAUAAUCGACUAAACGGACGGGACUACACUAUCAUCUCUCAUCAUCUUCGGAGGAGACCACAAUUUCACAUAAUUGAAGUCGAACCUUACUUACAGGUAAGCUCGUUUGACUUCCUAAUAAACCGCGAUAAAUUC